rnacentral:rRNA from 1 species
UAAGGAAUAUUGGUCAAUGGACGCAAGUCUGAACCAGCCAUGCCGCGUGCAGGAAGACGGCCUUAUGGGUUGUAAACUGCUUUUGUCAGGGAAUAAACCCCUCGAUGCGUCGGGGGCUGAAGGUACCUGAAGAAUAAGCACCGGCUAACUCCGUGCCAGCAGCCGCGGUAAUACGGAGGGUGCAAGCGUUAUCCGGAUUCAUUGGGUUUAAAGGGUGCGCAGGCGGGUUUGUCAGUCAGUGGUGAAAUCCUACGGCUUAACCGUGGAACUGCCAUUGAUACUGCAAGUCUUGAGUAUAGUUGAAGUGGGCGGAAUGUAGCAUGUAGCGGUGAAAUGCAUAGAUAUGCUACAGAACACCAAUUGCGAAGGCAGCUCACUAAGUUAUAACUGACGCUCAUGC